rnacentral:rRNA from 1 species
AUUGAACGCUGGCGGCAUGCCUUACACAUGCAAGUCGAACGGCAGCACGGGAGCAAUCCUGGUGGCGAGUGGCGAACGGGUGAGUAAUAUAUCGGAACGUGCCCAGUCGUGGGGGAUAACGCAGCGAAAGCUGUGCUAAUACCGCAUACGAUCUAAGGAUGAAAGCGGGGGAUCGCAAGACCUCGCGCGAUUGGAGCGGCCGAUAUCAGAUUAGCUAGUUGGUGGGGUAAAGGCCCACCAGGGCGACGAUCUGUAGCUGGUCUGAGAGGACGACCAGCCACACUGGAACUGAGACACGGUCCAGACUCCUACGGGAGGCAGCAGUGGGGAAUUUUGGACAAUGGGCGCAAGCCUGAUCCAGCAAUGCCGCGUGCAGGAUGAAGGCCUUCGGGUUGUAAACUGCUUUUGUACGGAACGAAACGGCCCUUUCUAAUACAGGGGGCUAAUGACGGUACCGUAAGAAUAAGCACCGGCUAACUACGUGCCAGUAGCCGCCGUAA